CGCAUUUCUGGAUGCACCAACUUCUCGUGUACAGCCAAGCCCACCCCUAGUAUGUGAACCUGUGAGAAAACCAAAAGAAAUGUUUUUGUCUUUCUUGGAAAGAACAAUGCAAACCUCCYGGGACUCCCUGAUUAAAUAAAAUAUAAGAUGUAAAGUGUG